AAAUUACAUGGGAAGAAACCUGUUUCUAGGUGAUCAAUGGAUAUUGGAAGUGAAAGAACAUUCAAAGCAGAAAGAUGGCUGUAGUUGUGGGGUGUAUUGUUUAAUGUAUACAGAAAGAUAAAGAGAAUCUCUCCUGAAUAUACGUACAGAAGAUGUUGAGAGAAAAAGGUCGGAAGUAGGUUCUACUCUUCUUGUUGUUUGACGGGUACAUGGUUGAUCGCUGCCCUUGUUGUGGGCUUACGCUAGAGGAUGGUAAAGGUGAUAUGGUGAACAACUGUAAUAUACAUGUAUUGUUGCUUAUUAACUGUCAG